AGCGAACGCUGGCGGCAGGCAUAACACAUGAAAGUCGAACGAACCAUUCGGGGUUAGUGGCGGACGGGAGAGCAAAACGUGGGAACGUGCCUUUAGGCUCGGAAUAACUAAGGGAAACUUGUGCUAAUACGGAAUGUGCCGUUCGGGGGAAAGAUUUAUCGCCUUUAGAGCGGCCCGCGUCUAAUUAGCUAGUUGGUGUGGUAAUGGGUCACCAAGGCUACGAUCAGUAGCUGGUCUGGGAGGAUGACCAGCCACAUUGGGACUGAGACACGGCCCAAACUCCUACGGGAGGCAGCAGUAGGGAAUCUUGCGCAAUGGGCAAAAGCCUGACGCAACCAUGCCGCGUGGAUGAUGAAGGUCUUAGGAUUGUAAAAUCCUUUCACCGGUGAAGAUAAUGACUGUGUCCGGAGAAGAAGCCCCGGCUAACUUCGUGCCAGCCGCCGCAGUAAGAC
rnacentral:rRNA from 1 species